GUAGUUAGCCGGGGCUUCCUCCUUGGCUACCGUCACUUUCUUCGUCACCAAGGACAGAGGUUUACAACCCGAAAGCCUUCUUCCCUCACGCGGCGUUGCUGGGUCAGGCUUGCGCCCAUUGCCCAAUAUUCCCCACUGCUGCCUCCCGUAGGAGUCUGGACCGUGUCUCAGUUCCAGUGUGGCCGAUCAGCCUCUCAGCUCGGCUACCCAUCGCGGACUUGGUGGGCCGUUACCCCGCCAACUAUCUAAUGGGACGCGAGCCCCUCCUUCUGCGGAUUGCUCCUUUGACCUCUCUCCGAUGCCGGAAUGUGGUCUUAUGCGGUAUUAGCACCCGUUUCCGUGUGUUAUCCCCCUCAAAAGGACAGGUUGCUCACGCGUUACUCACCCGUUCGCCACUAGGCAAAAACCGUAAAUUCUUGCCCCGUUCGACUUGCAUGUGUUAGGCACGCCGCCAGCGUUCGUCCUGAGCCAUAAUCAAACUACUGA
rnacentral:rRNA from 1 species